GAGGUGUUGUUUCGGUGUUUCCUAAUCAACAAAGAAAACUUCAUACAACAAAAACAUGGGAUUUCUUGGGAUUUCCUAAAAAUGUUAAAAGAAAAGCGAAACUGGAGAGCAACUUAGUUGCGGGCUUAAUAGAUACAGGGAUUACACCGGUAUCUGAGAGCUUUAAUGACAAAGGGUUUGGUCCUCCACCAGCUAAAUGGAAGGGAUCUUGCGCCCCUUAUGCCAAUUUUUCUUGCAACAACGUUACUUGGUCUUAUCAACACUUAUGACACCACAAGUGCUGCU